AUACAUCUUUUAUUUAUCUCUCAUGUCUUCAUUGCUUGCAUCUGAUCUGUCAAGAAAAAGAUAAAUCUACUAUUAACUACAAGAAAUCUUUAUAUCCUCCCAGAAAGGAGAGACAACAGUUCUACUUUCCAGCAAAAACAGUUGCAGCUACUCUUCUGAUAAGGGCAUUUUGAGCUUGGUUAAGUUUUCUGUUUCAAUAUUUGGCUAACAGAUCUCUUGCGAAAAUUUUCAAGUCAUGGUCUACAUGAAAGCACUGUGUGUUUAAAAUAAAUUUCACAGCGAGUAUUGUAAUGUUUCUACUCCUUCCACAUAUAGCAGCACAGCAUUUUAUCUGGCUUAUUUAGUUUGUAUUACAUAAUGAGUGGCAUGAGAGUGCUAGAAUAUGAAUGUACAAAUUAACACCAAAAAAAGAGGAAGAAAGAAAA